rnacentral:rRNA from 1 species
GAUGAACGCUGGCGGCGUGCCUAAUACAUGCAAGUCGAACGCUGGAAAUCUAGCUUGCUAGCUUGAAGGAGUGGCGAACGGGUGAGUAAUACAUAAGCAACCUACCCACGAAGACUGGGAUAAUCUCUGGAAACGGGGACUAAUACCGGAUAGGUAAUCGGAAGGCAUCUUCUGAUUAUUAAAGGUUAAAAACACUGGUGGAUGGGCUUAUGGCGCAUUAGUUAGUUGGUGAGGUAACGGCCCACCAAGACGAUGAUGCGUAGCCGGCCUGAGAGGGUGAACGGCCACAUUGGGACUGAGACACGGCCCAGACUCCUACGGGAGGCAGCAGUAGGGAAUUUUCGGCAAUGGAGGAAACCCUGACCGAGCAACGCCGAGUGAGUGAUGACGGCCUUCGGGUUGUAAAGCUCUGUUGUAAGGGAAGAACGGUAGAUAGAGAAUAUCUAAAUGACGGUACCUUACCAGAAAGCCACGGCUAACUACGUG